CGUCGUCGUCGGGUAUUUGACGUGCAUCCGGAGUAGAACGAGGGCACGCGUCGAACCGUCGAAAGUGCGCAAGAAAUGAGAUCGCGUAAAUAACGGCAGAUUAAUUUCGUCGACACUCGUACGUAUAAGAGUGCAAAGUAAAUAAAUAAUACGUAUUUUUUUUAUGGGAAUUAGCCCACCCGGGCACGGGUCACCGACCCACAUCGGGGCGAAAAUGUAAUAAUAAUAAUAAUAAUUGUUGAAGUUACAGUGUUCAUUUUUGGUGGAUAUCAACGAAAUAUGAUGCGAGAGGCUCAGACGACGACACAAACGACGACGCUCUCUCCGGUAUAUUUUCGGGACCGUCCGUAAAAACGAAACCAAAACACGCGUGCGCAUUCAAAGUGGCGCUUUAUUCCACAAGUAAAAUAAAACAUAUUGACAUAAAUAUGGGGUAACCUAGUUUAUAUGUAACAAUAAUACUGAAGAACCUUAAAGAAAUACAAAAUGGAAAAAAAAAUCAAAAGUGAGGAACAAUAGAUUUAUGUUGUGUUGUAAGAGAAACAAUCGAGACAGAGAGUCAGACGAGCGACCCGGGACUCGGUCACAAUUUUAGGGAUGCCACGUAGCAGGAAGAUCUACCACGGACGACACAUUACGCUUCCAAUAUUGUCUGCGGAGGUGGUAUCUCCCCGUUUGGUGGCUGCCUAAGUAUGUAAGAUUUUCCAAUGGAAAGUGUAUGUUUGGCAAAUGUAUCCAGGUCUUUAGAGAAUGUACUCAGAUAUUUGGGUUAGGUGUCAAGGGUUCAUGUAUAAUUUGCAUGCCUAAUUGACUAUGUAUAUUUUUUAACCUUAAUUUUUCAUUUGCAGUCACCCGACGGGAGUCAGAAACGUCAUUUUUGUGCGGACCGGCGACUCGACGGACCCCGGCCGAGGACGCCGCUCGAACCGCGGUUGCGGAGGAGCGCGCCGAUACGAGUCGGAGACGGCUCGUACAGUCGGCGCACGAGAGCGGUCCGGACGAAGACAUUCGGGAACCGAGGACGAAGACGCUCGUCGACUGCGGACGAAGACGCUCGUCGACUGCGGACGAAGACACCGGUCGACGCGCGAGGAAGAUGCUCCGGAACACGGGAAGAACGCCACACUCCCGAGUGCGGGAAGACACUCGUCAACGCAGAAGGAGACACGCAUCAAUGUCGGGCCGGCGCGAUUGUUUUAAAGACGAUUUAACGUGUAAAAUGAAUGUACGUGUUGUUUGUAACGAUUGUUAUAAUGUUUGUAGUAUUGUUUUUAGAGACCGACUCUGCGAAGACGGAGGAAGUCGAUACAUGUCGAGAAUGAAUUUAUUGAAGAUGUUGCCUGUGAUCACUAGGUGUUUGCACUAAUUUGGGGAGAUGAUUACGAUCGUAGAACGUCACGGAAUGCGGCGACGCAUCCGUAAAUAACGGCAGCAUAAAUACGAGAGAACGCGGCGGCGGCGGGGAAGUGCGCCUUUUGAAAGUAAAAGAACGGGGGAGAUCGGACCGACAUAGAUGGUGUUGUUGUGGUAACCGAUAAGAAUGGAGAAAUGAUGACUAUUUGGUGGGUUUUUUAGGACAGAGAGAGUAGUUAUAUAUUAGUGAAGAUAUAAAGUAAAAGGUGAUAAGGAUGGUGGUGGGGGGACAACGAAUGAUAUAUUUUGUAGGGUAUUAAAGGAAUUGACUCGUCAGUGCCGAGUCGGCGUAAUUGUGAGAAACGGAUGCGACGGGGAUUGUAAAGAAGUCGCGCGGUAGAGGAAUUGGCGGAAGCGACGAUCGCAAUAACCUUUCGACGUGGGACGGACGACGACGAAUUUAGUAAAUGGCGGUUUAGGAAAGGGUCGUACGUAAAGCGGCGGGUGCGGGCGCGUGCGGAUACGGACGACGGUCGAUCGGGGUCCGUUUACGGGACGGGAAAGAGGACCGACGGAGAACGGACGGGAAUUCGGACGGAGACGAGGCGGCGCACAAACGAAAGUAUACCCGCGAGAUGCGUAAAGAAUGAUUUGGAA